rnacentral:rRNA from 1 species
GAUAUCAAUGUAGAGUAAGGGAAGUCGGCAACUGGAUCCGUAACUUCGGAAACAUGAUUGGCUCUGAAGCUGAGUCGCGACCAGCUGGGUCUGAGGAUCACGCGGUGUGUGGCCACUCGUGCGGGAGAGCGCUUGGAGCUGCGCAUGCCGCGCGUGCACAGCAAACAGCCAGUUAGAACUGCACGGUUGAAGGAAAUGCCGAACUGUCUAAUUAAAACAUUAAGCAUUGUGAUGGCCCUGGCUGGGUGUUUGACACAAUGUGAUUUCUGCCCAUGCUACUUGAAUGCAAACGUGAAAGAAAUUCAAGCAAGCGGCGGGUAAAACGGCGGAGUAACUAUGACUCCUCUUAAGGUAGCCCAAACAUGGCCUCGUCAUCUAAUUCAAGUGACCGCAUGAAUGGAUUAACGAGAUUCCCUCUGUCCUAAUCUACUAUCUAGCGAAACACAGCAGGCGGAACGGCCG